rnacentral:rRNA from 1 species
GAUGAACGCUGGCUACAGGCUUAACACAUGCAAGUCGAGGGGAAACGACGGGGAAGCUUGCUUCCCCGGGCGUCGACCGGCGCACGGGUGAGUAACGCGUAUCCAACCUGCCUCUGACUGAGGGAUAACCCGUCGAAAGUCGGCCUAAUACCUCAUGGUAUCGUCUGCGGGCAUCCAACGACGAUUAAAGAUUUCAUCGGUCAGGGAUGGGGAUGCGUCUGAUUAGCUUGUUGGCGGGGUAACGGCCCACCAAGGCUACGAUCAGUAGGGGUUCUGAGAGGAAGGUCCCCCACAUUGGAACUGAGACACGGUCCAAACUCCUACGGGAGGCAGCAGUGAGGGAUAUUGGUCAAUGGGCGAGAGCCUGAACCAGCCAAGUAGCGUGCAGGAAGACGGCCCUAUGGGUUGUAAACUGCUUUUAUGCGGGGAUAAAGUGAGGGACGUGUCCCUCAUUGCAGGUACCGCAUGAAUAAGGACCGGCUAAUUCCGUG